GAUGAAGAACGCAGCGAAAUGCGAUAAGUAAUGUGAAUUGCAGAAUUCAGUGAAUCAUCGAAUCUUUGAACGCACAUUGCGCCCGCCAGUAUUCUGGCGGGCAUGCCUGUUCGAGCGUCAUUUUAACCAUCAAGCCCCCGGCUUGUGUUGGGGACCUGCGGCUGCCGCAGGCCCUGAAAAGCAGUGGCGGGCUCGCUGUCACACCGAGCGUAGUAGCAUACAUCUCGCUCUGGGCGUGCUGCGGGUUCCGGCCGUUAAACCACCUUCAUAACCCAAGGUUGACCUCGGAUCAGGUAGGAAGACCCGCUGAACUUAAGCAUAUCAAUAAGCGGAGGA
rnacentral:misc_RNA from 1 species